AUUGAACGCUGGCGGCAGGCCUAACACAUGCAAGUCGAGCGAGCGGCGGACGGGUGAGUAAUGUAUGGGGACUGCCCGCUCGAGGGGGAUAACUACUGGAAACGGUGGCUAAUACCGCAUACUCUCGUAUAACCCAUAUGGGAUUGGCUAGUAGGUGGGGUAAAGGCUCACCUAGGCGACGAUCUCUGGCUGGUCUGAGAGGACGAGCAGCAACACGGGGACGGAGACACGGCACAGAUGCCUACGGAGGAAGCAGUGGGGAAUAUUGCACAAUGGGCGCAAGCCUGAGGCAGCCAUGCCGCGUGGAUGAAGAAGGCCUUAGGGUUGUAAAGUACUUUCAGCGGGGAGGCGUUACCCGAAGAGGAAGCACCGGCUAACUACGUGCCAGCAGCCGCGGUAAUAC
rnacentral:rRNA from 1 species